rnacentral:rRNA from 1 species
UCCUACGGGAGGCAGCAGUGGGGAAUUUUCCGCAAUGGGCGAAAGCCUGACGGAGCAAUACCGCGUGAGGGAAGACGGCCUAUGGGUUGUAAACCUCUUUUUUCAGGGAGGAAUUCAAUGACGUGUACCUGAAGAAUAAGCAUCGGCUAACUCCGUGCCAGCAGCCGCGGUAA